CCUACGGGGGGCAGCAGUCGAGAAUCAUUCACAAUGGGGGAAACCCUGAUGGUGCGACGCCGCGUGGGGGAAUGAAGGUCUUCGGAUUGUAAACCCCUGUCAUGUGGGAGCAAAUUAAAAAGAUAGUACCACAAGAGGAAGCGACGGCUAACUCUGUGCCAGCAGCCGCGGUAAUACAGAGGUCUCAAGCGUUGUUCGGAAUCACGGGACGUAAAGCGUGCGGAGGCUGUUUCGUAGUUCGUGUGUGAAUGGCGCGGGCUCAACCCGCGGGCGGCACAUGAUACUGCGAGACUAGAGUAAUGGAGGGGGAAGCGGAAUUCUCGGUGUAGCAGUGAAAUGCGUAGAUAUCGAGAGGAACACUCGUGGCGAAGGCGAGUUCCUGGACAGUAACUGACGCUGAGGCACGAAGGCCAGGGGAGCGAAAGGGAUUAGAUACCCGGGUAGUC
rnacentral:rRNA from 1 species